UGAGGAAUAUUGGUCAAUGGUCGAGAGACUGAACCAGCCAAGUCGCGUGAAGGAUGACUGCCCUAUGGGUUGUAAACUUCUUUUACAAGGGAAUAAAAUGAGAUACGUGUAUUUUAUUGCAUGUACCUUGUGAAUAAGCAUCGGCUAACUCCGUGCCAGCAGCCGCGGUAAUACGGAGGAUGCGAGCGUUAUCCGGACUUAUUGGGUUUAAAGGGUGCGUAGGUGGGCUGUUAAGUCAGCGGUAAAAGUUUGUCGCUUAACGAUAAAAUUGCCGUUGAAACUGGUAGUAUUGAGUAUAGAAGGAGAAGGCAGAAUGCGUGGUGUAGCGGUGAAAUGCAUAGAGAUCACGCAGAACUCCGAUUGCGAAGGCAGCUUACGAAGGUAUAACUGACACUGAAACACGAAAGCGUGGAUAUCAAACAGG
rnacentral:rRNA from 1 species